rnacentral:rRNA from 1 species
AUUGAACGCUGGCGGCAUGCCUUACACAUGCAAGUCGAACGGUGACGCGGGGCAACCUGGCGACGAGUGGCGAACGGGUGAGUAAUGUAUCGGAACGUGCCCCGUUGUGGGGGAUAACUGCUAGAAAGAGCAGCUAAUACCGCAUACGACCUGAGGGUGAAAGCGGGGGAUCGCAAGACCUCGCGCAAUUGGAGCGGUAGAUAUCAGAUUAGGUAGUUGGUGGGGUAAAGGCUCACCAAGCCAACGAUCUGUAGCUGGUCUGAGAGGACGACCAGCCACACUGGGACUGAGACACGGCCCAGACUCCUACGGGAGGCAGCAGUGGGGAAUUUUGGACAAUGGACGCAAGUCUGAUCCAGCCAUGCCGCGUGCGGGAAGAAGGCCUUCGGGUUGUAAACCGCUUUUGUCAGGGAAGAAACGCUCUUGGUUAAUACCUCGGGGUAAUGACGGUACCUGAAGAAUAAGCACCGGCUAACUACGUGCCAGCCGCCGCAGUAA